GACGAACGCUGGCGGCGUGCUUAACACAUGCAAGUCGAGCGGUAAGGCCCUUUCGGGGGUACGACGAGCGGCGAACGGGUGAGUAACACGUGGGUGACCUGCCUUUAGCUCUGGGAUAAGCCUGGGAAACUGGGUCUAAUACCGGAUAUGACUCCAUGAUGCAUGUUGUGGGGUGGAAAGCCUUGUGCGGCUGGAGAUGGGCCCGCGGCCUAUCAGCUUGUUGGUGGGGUGANGGCCUACCAAGGCGACGACGGGUAGCCGGCCUGAGAGGCGACCGGCCACACCGGGACUGAGACACGGCCCAGACUCCUACGGGAGGCAGCAGUGGGGAAUCUUGCGCAAUGGGCGAAAGCCUGACGCAGCGACGCCGCGUGAGGGAUGACGGCCUGG
rnacentral:rRNA from 1 species